rnacentral:rRNA from 2 species
CGGGAACUCAAAGGAGACUGCCAGUGAUAAACUGGAGGAAGGUGGGGAUGACGUCAAGUCAUCAUGGCCCUUACGAGUAGGGCUACACACGUGCUACAAUGGCGCAUACAAAGAGAAGCGACCUCGCGAGAGCAAGCGGACCUCAUAAAGUGCGUCGUAGUCCGGAUUGGAGUCUGCAACUCGACUCCAUGAAGUCGGAAUCGCUAGUAAUCGUGGAUCAGAAUGCCACGGUGAAUACGUUCCCGGGCCUUGUACACACCGCCCGUCACACCAUGGGAGUGGGUUGCAAAAGAAGUAGGUAGCUUAACCUUCGGGAGGGCGCUUACCACUUUGUGAUUCAUGACUGGGGUGAAGUCGUAACAAGGUAACCGUAGGGGAACCUGCGGUUGGAUCACCUCCUUACCUUAAAGAA